UAAGGAAGUAACAAUAUGGAGGAAGGCGGGGGCGGAAACUGGAAGAAAUUGGGGCUGGUGGGUGCCCCUCGAGAGAAGCUGGCAAGGCAGAGCGUGAGGACACCGAAGCACCGGGGAGAGCGAGGGUGGAACAAGACAGGCCAAGCGAGGACGAGGGAAAAGAAUAUGAGAAAGACAAGCGAGUGCGAGCUAGGAAAACCAGCGGCUCCCACCCCACGCCCGCUCCACAGCGGAACAUUCCUCCCGCAGAGGACAGGAAGCAACCAAGGAAAAGGGAAAGUCUCGCCAUACGAUUACCCAGCGAACCUCUCCUGCACCAGCCAGAAGGUACCGAGCCACCAAGAACCACGGAUAGGUGAUAGAGAAAAUGGCGGCAGCCCCAACUGGGCACGAGGGAGAACCCUAAAACUCACGUCCUACUCCACACGCAGCUCUUCUACACCACGACAGAAACAGAAGUGACGUAUCACGGAAUCCCCGCCCUGCACCACGUGGAAAGGGCGGGGGGAGGUGUUUAAAGGGGACGCGUCCAUUUGUUACUCGUUCCCACCUCCCCCGCCCCAGCUGGGGCGCGGGGGGGGAGAAGGGAAAAAAAACAAACAAACAAAAAAAACCACCAAAAAGUCUCCCAUGGGGCUAGUCUCUGUAUUCGCCGCUUCAUGCCAACCGAGGGAGGCUUGUGGGGCUGACGGCAGGGCCCUGCCUGCUCCUACAGCCUAGCCUGGAGCCAGGCCCAGUCAGGGCUGCAGUGCUGCUGAGGGGAGACACCACCAAGGCCGGGCCUUCACCAGCUGUCUGCCCUCUGCUGAAGGACUGUGAGAGGGGGCCAGGAGGAGGGCCCUUAAUACCUAGAAGGAACCCUUAAAAAAACAAAACAAAACACAAAAAAACCAAAAUCAAAACCCUCUGUAAAUCUGUGUCGUCUUCCACACACUGCAGCGGUUCCUCGAUCUCGUUUGAAGCCACCCUGCCGGCAGCUGUGCCCGAGGAAAAAAAGAAGUGCUGUGAGGUGAUGUAGCUGCGUUAACUUUGCAUAUUGAAAUUGCGGCACCAGAAGCGCUGUUCAGGAAAGUGGUGGUUCCCCUUUCUUUCACUGGGUGGCUUGCAUUUUGUUUUCUUCCUGAUUGGCUUUGCUGUUGGGGGAGCGGGUGAGCCUUAUGGCUCUCAUCUUGGCAGUCACCUGGGGUCAAGUGCAGGUCUGAAGCACUGGGGACAGAAGGUUAAAAAAAAAAAUCACAGCUUCUGUUCUAAGCACUUACUUUUUAAAAGCCCUCCAAGCAAAAACCCCUCGAAAAAAUAAUCUCACAAUUCUGCCUGUUUCUGUAGCAUGUUUACACUAGAACACCGCAUCAUAAGUGCCCUGUUGAUGCUGUUUCCUGUGUCAGGAUUUGAAGAAGGGCAGUAAAUUUAGUUCAUCUAAACAAGUAUGCAACAGCUUCUGAGAUAAACCAAAAUGACACCUCUUUGGAGGGGAGGUGGGGAAAGGGUCCCCUGCCCCCAUCUUUGUGAAAGAAGAUGACUAUUAGCAGCCUUUAUAAACUGCAAUAGGUCAAGCAUGCUGUUGGAGCAUGAGUGGUUUUAUGUUCUGUCUUCCCAUGUUACAUAUUUGAGCCUGUACUUUCAGUUUAUGAUGAGAUUUAUUAAUAUUAAAAUAUUAUCGUAGUCAAUACAACUUAAUAUAAGUUAAUACUGACCCACUGUUGGUUAUGCAGGUGGGCAGUGAUGAGGUUGCAGAGAGAAGCCCAAGAGCAAUCAAAAGGUACUUCAGGGCACUGGGGUGACUAGUUGAAGGACCGGGAGCGCAGGUAGUGUUUACCUCAAUCCCAUCAAUGGCAGGGAAGAAUAAUACUGAAAGGAACAGGAAAACUCAUCUGAUUAACACGUGGCUCAGAGGCUGGUGCCAUCGGUGGAAUUUUGGGUUUUUUUGAUCAUGGGGAGGUUUACAUGGCACCGGGCCUGCUGGCGGCAGAUGGAGUUCACCUAUCUCAAAGGGGGAAAAGGAUUCUUGCACAUGAGUUGGUGGGGCUCAUUGAGAGGGCUUUAACCUAGGUUCAAAGGGGGAAGGGGAUAUAGCCAGGUCCACUAGAGAGGAGCCUAGGGGUGGCAUGCCAGGGUUGGGGGUGAAACCAAUAGCCCAGCUCAAGUGCAUCUAUGCCAACACACGCAGCAUGGGCAACAAACAGGAGGAGCUGGAAGCCAUUGUACAGAGGGAUAGCUAUGACUUAGUCACCAUCACAGAGACACGGUGGGAUGACUCUUACGACUGCUGGGAGAUGUGGCGGUCAGAGGCGGUCUUGGGCUUAGCGACCAGGAUAUGAUUGAGUUCUCAGUCCUUGGUGAAGUAAGAAGGGGGGUCAGCAGAACCACUACCAUGGACUUCUGGAGGGCAGACUUUGGCCUGUUCAAGGCACUGGUUCGGAGAGUCCCUUGGGAGGAAGUCCUGAAGGGCAAAAGAGUCCAGGAAGGCUGGGCACUCCUCUAGAAGGAACUCUUGAAGGUACAGGAGCAGGCUGUCCCCAAGUGCCACAAGACAAACCGGCGGGGAAGACAACCGGCCUGGCUGAACAGGGAGCUUUUGCUGGCACUCAGGGAAAAAAAGGAGAGUCUACCACUUUUGGAAGAAGGGGCAGGCAGCUCAAGAAGAGUACAGAGAUCUCGUUAGGUCUUCCAGAGAGAAAAUUAGGCAAAAGCCCAGCUAUCACAGAAUCACAGGUUGGAAGGGACCUCAGGGAUCAUCUAGUCCAACCUUUCUAGGAAGAGCACAGUCUAGACAAGAUGGCCCAGCACCCUGUCCAGCCAAAUCUUAAAAGUGUCCAAUGUGGCCGAGCCAACGACUUCCCUGGGGAGAUUAUUCCAAUGGUUGACUGUCCUCACUGUGAAAAAUUUUCCUCUCGUGUCCAAUCGGAAUCUCCCCAAGAGCUAGAACUCAACCUGGCCACUGUUGUAAGGGAUAACAAAAAAUGUUUUUACAAAUACAUUAACAACAAAAAGAGAACCAAAGAGAAUCUCCAUCCUCUAUUGGACGCAGAGGGGAACGUUGCUACUGAGGAUGAGGAAAAGGCUGAGGUACUAAAUGCCUUCUUUGCCUCAGUCUUUAAUAGUCAGACCAGUUAUCCCCAGGGUAUUCAGCCCCCUGAGCUGGUAGGGAGGGACAGGGAGCAGAAUAAACCCCGCAUAAUCCAGGAGGAAGCAGUUUAUGACCUGCUGCUCCACCUGGACACUCACAAGUCUAUGGGGCCGGAUGGCAUCCACUCGAGAGUAGUGAGGGAGCUGGCGGAGGAGCUUGCCAAGCCACUCUCCAUCAUUUAUCAGCAGUCUUGGUUAACAGGGGAGGUCCCAGACAAAUGGAGGCUUGCCAAUGUGAUGCCCAUCUACAAGAAGGGCCAGAAGGAGGAUCCGGGGAACUACAGGCCUUUCAGCCUGACCUCGGUACCAGGGAAGAUUAUGGAGUGAUACAUCUUGCGUGAGCUCACUAGGCAAGUGCAGGACAACCAGGUGAUCAGGCCCAGCCAGCAUGGGUUCACGAAAGGCAGGUCCUGCCUGACCAACCUGACCUCCUUCUAUGACCAGGUGACCCGCCUGGUGGAUGAGGGAAAGGCUGUGGAUGUUGUCUAUCUGGACUUUAGCAAAGCCUUUGACACUGUCUCCCACAUCAUCCUCCUAGAGAAGCUGACAGCUCAUGGCUUGGAGGGGUGUGCUCUUUGCUGUGUAAAAAACUGGCUGGAUGGCUGAGCCCAGAGAGUCGUGGUGAAUGGACCUAAAUCCAGCUGGUGGCCAGUCACAAGCGGUGUUCCCCAGGGCUCAGUUUUGGGGCCAGUCUUGUUUAAUAUCUUUAUCAACGAUCUGGACGAGGGGAUCAAGUGUACCCUCAGUAAGUUUGCAGAUGACACCAAGUUGGGUGGAAGUGUUGCUCUGCUCGAGAGUAGGAAGGCUCUGCAGAGGGACUUGGACAGGCUGGAUUGAUGGGCCGAGACCAAUUGUACGAGGUUUAACAAGGCCAAGUGCCAGGUCCUGCACUUGGGUCACAACAACCCUAUGCAAUGCUACAGGCUUGGGGAAGAGUGGCUGGAGAGCUGCCUGGCAGAGGCGGCCAACAGCAUCCUGGCUUGUAUCAGGAAUAGUGUGGUCAGCAGGACUAGGGAAGUGAUUGUGCCCCUGUACUCAGCACUGGUGAGGCCACACCUUGAAUACUGUGUUCAGUUUUGGGCCCCUCACUACAAGAAGGACAUUGAGUUGCUGGAGCGUGUCCAGAGAAGGGCAACGAAGCCGGUGAAGGGUCUGGAGAGCAGGUCUUAUGAGGAGAGGUUGAGGGAAGCGGGGUUGUUUAGUCUGGAGAAGAGGAGGCUGAGGGGAGACCUUAUCACUCUACAACUACCUGAAAGGAGGGUGUAGCGAGGUGGGUGCUGGUCUCCUCUCCCAAGUUAUUAGUAAUAGAAUGAGAGGAAACAGCUUCAAGCUGCAUCAGGGGAGGUUUAGAUUGGAUAUUAGGAAAAAUUUCUUCACUGAAAGCAUGGUCAGGCAUUGGAACAGGCUGCCCAGAGAGGUGGUGGAGUCACCAUCCCUGGAAGCAUUUAAAAGAUGCAUAGACGUGGCACUUCAGGGCAUGGUUUAGGAGACAUGGUAGCAUUGGGUUGAUGGUUGGACUUGAUGAUCCUAGAGGUGUUUUCCAUCUUUAAUGAUUCCAUGAUCUAUGAUUUCUAUGAUUCUAACUUCACACAAAACUAAAGCAGCCUAUCAUUGUUUGCUUGUCACUGCACCAAUAGGUCAUGUAGUUGUGCUAUAUGUGUGGCAGGAUGCAAGUGCUUCAGAUAUCCAUUAUCAGUUUAGUUUAGUCCUUUUCUUAUUACCUCUAGACCUGUGCUUCUGCUACCAUGACAAUGCAAGCUUUUUGUAAAAAGUGUAAACAAACAAUCAGAAAUAGGAAGCGGACUCUAGUCCCAGUCCUAGCCUCCAGAUAAAGCUAUUGUUGGUGCAGAUGGUAGUGGGUGAUUGGCCUCUGUAGUUCCAAGAACAAACACUUUAAAUGAAGUGUUUAAAAUCAAAAAUCUUGGGCUUUAUAAAUUCCAAAGAUUCCCUAUUUGUUAACAUGUGCCAGGAAGAUAAACAUGUCAGAAGUGGGGAUAAUCCUCAAAUGUCAGCAUGAGCAGUCCUAAGCAGUUUCUGAAAAAACACUUAUGAGAAAAUGUUUUUAGAAGGGAUCCAUGAGGUCUGCACAGUCCUCACUAUGCCUUGAGAUAAACUGGCUCUCGGUAUGAAUCUUUUUCACUUUAGUAGCAGGAAAACAGGAAGUUAAUACCAGAAAUUAAAAGUGUACUUUUUAAACUAAUUCUUGGAAAUUGGCUGUUUCAUAAUAUUAUUAUGUAUCUUGCAAAACAAAAAGAAAAUUAGACAAAUAUGCAGUUGUUACAUGCCUGGCCUUUGGAAAAUAAAACUAUGGUUGUUUACACAGAAUAAAAGCACAGUAAAUCAUAUGUAUGUAAAUAUAGUAAUUAUCACCACUGUGCAAAUAUCAAGCUUGUCAAACCACGUAAUUGUCGAAGAUGAACAGAUGAUCUUUUAAUACUUAAUGCUUAACUCAAGAAAAACCAAAAACCAACCAAACAAAAAACUCUAAACAAACCUAUUCCACAAAAGAUAGCCUCCACAUAUGAAAUAUUAAUUUGAAAAAACAUAGCUCUUUUCAAGGCUUUUACUAACUUUUCAUAUUAGAAUAGUAAUGGCAGUUCAGGUUUUUGUAAUCCCUGUCUGCUUUGCUUUCUUAUAGGUCAAUACCUUGUACACAAAGAAUGCUAAGGUUUUAGGAGCAUCACAUUCAAAUGAACAGUUCUUUAUAUUUUUUUAAUCAAGUCCUUCAGCCUUGAAAUAAAUCAAAACGACUAAAAGAAAGAGAUUUUUCUGCUGGAUCUUAAUGAGUUAACCUCUCCCACCUGCAGUGUUUCCUCCAAAAGCAAGCACCAAGUUUAUUUUUACAGCUGAACUCUCAAAUAACAGGUCAGUGAGGGAAGGGAAUAUUUGCUAACUGGGGAUUUCAUGUUAUGUUUUUCUGUAAUGAUGGGUUUUGUUAAAGAAUUACUCUGGUAGUUUAUUUUAGUGGCUGUUAAAGCUUUUUGGUAAAUUACCCUUGCUAUAUAUUAUUCUGUUUAAAAAGAAUAAAGAAGAUACUAAGAAAAGAUGCUGGCUUUAGAAAAGUGGGGAAGGAGUCUUAAUUUUCUAAGGUAAAUUUCUUCUGUUUCCUUCUGAGUGAGUAAUCUAUCCACCCAAGGGUUAUAGUACACUUUCUGAGCUAAUGGGUUUGUUCCCUCAUAACUUUCCUUCUGUAGCUGCCUUAAAAGGAGUUAAAUUAUUCUAGUUACAGCCUGAUUGCCUCAUUUCAUAUCACAUGUCUUUGGCUCAGAAGAAUGUUGAAGUAUUAGCUUUUUCUUCAAAGAGAAAUUGUAUCAUGUAGAUUUGAAAAGGAAUGCUGAAAAAUACAAGCUCAUGCUUCUGGUCACAUAGUAAUUAUUAAAUAUGGUUGACUCCUCUUGUUACAAAUAGUAGAGCUCAUAGGAAACAUUUUGAGGCAGGCAGAAUGAGGGACAGCUCUUUCAAAUAAAGUUUUAGUAUUCAGUGCUUACUAGUUUAAAAGGUGGGUGAAGAAACUGGCUGAGCAAGGGAAGGUUAGCCUUUAAUACAGACACUAGUUUUAUUAAAGACUCAGGGAAGAAAGUGUAAGGGAUAUUGCUAGGCAGUAUUUUUGCUUGUGUACAGUAACAAGUUCAUUUACCACGUGCAUACGAUGUGUAAUUUGAGUUUGCAUUAACACUUGCAUAAUUUUGUAUUAUGCUUGAGUGUUGGGACAUUAGCUUUCGGGUGUUUGGUUUUUUUUCUUUUUCUGUUGCAAUUUGGUAUUAUAAACACUGACAACUUCCAUGUUUUAUUUAAUAAAUUAUUUUAUUAACA